rnacentral:lncRNA from 1 species
CGACGACCGUUGGGCCGGCGGCGGCGGCCGUGGAGGGCGCGCGGGCGGCCGGUGGUGGACAGCUCCGCUGAGGGACGCUGCCCGCCGCCCCCGGUGGGGCUGCGGGGCGGGUAGCGGCCCCGGGGACCGCGGGAGGGGCCCGCCCGGGCUGUUCCCCACGGCGCUGGAGACUUGAAAGUUGCAUUUAAAGCACUCGCAGAACAAUGAGCCCUUUAUUUGCGGACACCUUCUUCCCGCAGAUGCGAGCGCGCAGCAAAAGCGUUUKCACUGCUUUCACGGCCGUCUGGUGUCUGUCGGUCUGCUUUUCUCCUGCUGUCCAGGUUGCAGCAAAGCGCCUGGUGACCGCUGGCGUCUCCUUUCACUGCCGUGCAAGCUGCAAACAGUUCGCAGCCUCUGCCUUGCUGUCCCACUGACAGAGCCGAAGACAGAGUUCCCUGAAGUAUUAGGUUAGCCGGGAUGGCUUUCCACAGCCUCAGUCUCCCUUUUUUUUUUUCCUGCUGGACUUGAGAACUGGACAACUCAAUUUGUGAGUGCUCAAAUUUCUUUAACGUAGGUCUCCUGGGGAGGGGAGGUGUUACAAUGCUACAGCUGCAGCAAAGAACUGGAACUAUAUAGCCGAAGUAAAUAAUUUGAAAAUCUUGGCAGUGCGAAGAUGAAUAGCAAAACCUUGCUGUACCACCCGAGGUUGAAAUUAACAGAUGAAAGCAAGAAGUUCAGAGCAAAGCCAACUCAUUUUCUUUAAACUCUUUCCAGUAGCUGUAGUUAUUAGCUGUUCAGAUAGCACACAAAGGAGGAUUUCCUCCACAGAUAAUAAGCACAAUGACAUAAAUCAAGCGUAGAGAGAGAGCAUAGAAUUUUUCUAUUAAUUUCCUGACAAAUGAACUCCGAAUCAGUUUGUUAAAACUCGUAUGGCGUAAGGUUUUUUAACUCUUUCUCUGGUAACUCUCAGUCCACAUUUAUGAGAGCGAAAUGAAAGGCUAUUUUUAGUACAGCAACCAAAUUUCCCUGUGCAUAGUGUGAACUCUAUGCUCUCCGAAUUCAAGCUUGCCAUGCACUGCUCUGCUCCAUUUUCCCUCCUUUUUAUUUUGAAAUGGAAUAUGCCUUUUAGAGCUAAGCAGGUGGAGAGAAGGCCAGCAUUUGCAAACUUUUUGCAAGCUCCAUGGGCAUUUUACCUAGCUUUUCCAGUUUCAAUCGAAAUCUUCUGGGUCUCACCAUGAGAGGAUCAGCAUUUCAGGAAGCUGUGAAAUAGCAAAGUCAUUAUUUUUUUCUAUUGGCCCACUAGUAGUAUCUGGCAGUGAUCAAGCGAGGAUAAUUUAGUUGAUGCUCCUCAUUGGGAAAUUCUUGCUGGAAGUCUGGCAUGCAGUGUCACAAGAUUGUUGCACUCCGGCAAGUUACAGUAGUCCUUGCAUACUG